GCAGUAGCUGAAUGGUAGAGUGCUUGCCUAGCAUGCAUGAGGCACUGGGUUCUAUUCUCAGCACUGCA
rnacentral:tRNA from 1 species